GCUAGCGUGGUGCCAGCGGCAGGGGGAAUGCGAGGGGGGUGAGCGUGUUGUGGAAUUAGUGGGCGGAAAGGGAGGGUAGUCGGUUUUUUAAGUCAGAUGUGUAAUCCCCGAGCUCAACUUGGGAACUGCAUCGGAGACUGGGAGACUAGAGUACUGGAGAGGGUGGUAGAAUUCCACGUGUAGCGGUGAAAGGCGUAGAGAUGUGGAGGAAUACCAGUGGCGAAGGCGGCCACCUGGACAGUGACUGACGCUGAGGCGCGAAAGUGUGGGUAGCAAACAGGAUUAGAUACCCGGGUAGUC
rnacentral:rRNA from 1 species